UUUCUCGUCUGGAGAAACUUCGCCGAGCGAGUGCCUCUGGAAAGGCCCUGCAUGUAAAUCGCACUCCUUCUCGGGAAUGAAAAAAAAGAGAAGAACCCCCUGGCUUCGACUUCGGAAAAUUGAAACCUUUCCACACAGCUUUGACGCACUUGGUGAAGCUAUUGGCUCCUUCAUCCUGCACUUUGGCGUCGGGGUCGUCUACACAAAUGCGGCGGGCGGCUUGAAAGCUGUUCAUGCGUUUUUGCAGCAAAGAACCCACUCGAAGUGCAUCGAGGCGGAAACAUUGAUCGCGCCCUCUACUGAAGGAGCAGUCACUCGGCAACGAGGUGGAGCGCAUGGUUUUGCCAAUUGUGGGAAAGUACGCCCCUCGGGAGCACACGUGCAGAAGGAGGCUGUGGGUAAAAGCUGCUCGCAGACGGCAGCUUGACAAAGGCCCACAGCCCCCCCUACAGGAAACGAGAGCAUCCUCAACACCAAAUUCGGAACGUGGGCCUACGAAGGAACCGAACAUGUCCUGCAGAACGCGUAUUAGCACGUCGCGGGCCGCUCCCACGUCGGGACCGACAGGCCUAGCCUGCCAGCCGCAUCGUGGGCCUGCUGAGAAGAUGCGGACGUAAAUUUGUGCAGGUGGCUGAUGAAGACAAGAAAGUAAGGCUUUUUGACGUGAAGAGAGAAAGAUCGAAACAUGAAUGGUGGAAAAUCGCACCGGGGUGCUCCCCGCCGGCAGCACUCGGUCCUUCGUGAAGCCUUCAGUCCACAACCCCACGAGCCGUAGCCACCCAGGGUGCUAUCUUGACUAGAUCGAGAUGGUCCCUGGACUCAGCGCCGGACAGCAAAGUGUGCCACUGUUUGGCUUACGUGGUAUCGAUUUUGUUGACUGACAUGCCCAUGUGGCAUGGUAAAGCGUGCGUGGUGAAGAAAACUUCACAAAAGACCAACCGUUUCGCAAAGUACAAGGUGAGGAGCAAUGCUCAGAAGUUCGACUGUGCCACCUAGUCGACAUGCUGAUCUGAUUUUUUAAAAUAAAAUUCUCUUCGCA